CCCUUAGAUGUUCUGGGCUGCACGCGCGCUACACUGAUGCGUUCAACAAGUUGGACCUUGUCCGAGAGGAAAUCGGGGGAAUCUUUUGAAAACGUAUCGUGAUGGGGAUAGAUUAUUGCAAUUAUUAGUCUUGAACGAGGAAUUCCUAGUAAGCACAAGUCAUCAGCUUGUGUUGAUUACGUCCCUGCCCUUUGUACACACCGCCCGUCGCUCCUACCGAUUGAAUGUUCCGGUGAGCUCUUCGGACUGCGCGGUCUGCAGUUUCUGCGUUCCGUGCGGAAAGUUGCGCAAACCUUAACAUUUAGAGGAAGGAGAAGUCGUAACA
rnacentral:rRNA from 1 species